CCCAGAGAGAUCCUUCACUCCUUCUGCCAUGUAAGGACACAGAGAAAACACAGCAGUCUCUGAACCAGGAAACCAGACACAGAAUCUGCUGGUGUCUCCAUUUUGGACUUACCAGCUUCUAGAACUAUUCUCCUGAAACCAAGGCUUCCUGGGUCUGGGUCAUCCGCUGCCUGCUUUGCCUCAACUGUGACUUUGGCUGAGGGUCUGCUUUUCAGCCCACCAUCAUGACCGAUUAACUGCGCUUGAGUCCUCAUGGAGCUUCCAUCUAGGACUGACUCAACUUUCACUUGCCAAAAUAAGCUGGGCACUCCCCUUGGCUGCCAUUGUGCAUCUAGGCCUAAUGGCCACAUGUCCCAAGUUUCUGACUUCUCAGAUCACUUCCUCACUUGGAUGACAAGCCAUACGGUGGGUUGUGGGAUCUGGUUACCUGAUCAAGAGCCAGAGAAACAAGAUGCAACAAUAGCCUUCUGGUGGGGUGAACUUAGAUUAAUGGAAUAGGAGCUGGGAAGAUAACUCCCCACAACACUCUCCCUCUCACAGACUGCUUCAAAGGAUGAUUCUCCAGAUUACCUGUCCACAUGUGGCCAGUAUCCUGAGACUUCAAUGGCAGGCGUCUAGCACAGCACCCAGAAUAUAGUUGGUGCUUUAACUACCACAGACUCAGCGUGUUGCCUUGAACAAAGUUCAAAUGGCUUCAGACUCUGCGACCAGGGGUUCAGAACACCAAAGUUUUAAU